GAUGAACGCUGGCGGCGUGCCUAAUACAUGCAAGUCGAGCGAACAGACGAGGAGCUUGCUCCUCUGACGUUAGCGGCGGACGGGUGAGUAACACGUGGAUAACCUACCUAUAAGACUGGGAUAACUUCGGGAAACCGGAGCUAAUACCGGAUAAUAUAUUGAACCGCAUGGUUCAAUAGUGAAAGACGGUUUUGCUGUCACUUAUAGAUGGAUCCGCGCCGCAUUAGCUAGUUGGUAAGGUAACGGCUUACCAAGGCAACGAUGCGUAGCCGACCUGAGAGGGUGAUAGGCCACACUGGAACUGGGACACGGUCCAGACUCCUACGGGAGGCAGCAGUAGGGAAUCUUCCGCAAUGGGCGAAAGCUUGACGGAGCAACGCCGCGUGAGUGAUGAAGGUCUUCGGAUCGUAAAACUCUGUUAUUAGGGAAGAACAAAUGUGUAAGUAACUAUGCACGUCUUGACGGUACCUAAUCAGAAAGCAACGGCUAACUACGUG
rnacentral:rRNA from 1 species